rnacentral:rRNA from 1 species
AACGCUGGCGGCGUGCUUAACACAUGCAAGUCGAACGGUGAAGGAGAGCUUGCUCUCCGGAUCAGUGGCGAACGGGUGAGUAACACGUGAGCAAUCUGCCCCUGACUCUGGGAUAAGCGCUGGAAACGGCGUCUAAUACCGGAUACGAGCUGCGAAGGCAUCUUCAGCAGCUGGAAAGAACUUCGGUCAGGGAUGAGCUCGCAGCCUAUCAGCUUGUUGGUGAGGUAAUGGCUCACCAAGGCGUCGACGGGUAGCCGGCCUGAGAGGGUGACCGGCCACAUUGGGACUGAGAUACGGCCCAGACUCCUACGGGAGGCAGCAGUGGGGAAUAUUGCACAAUGGGCGGAAGCCCGAUGCAGCAACGCCGCGUGCGGGAUGACGGCCUUCGGGUUGUAAACCGCUUUCGCCUGUGACGAACGUGAGUGACGGUAAUGGGUAAAGAAGCACCGGCUAACUACGUGCCAGCAGCCGCGGUGAUACGUAGGGUGCGAGCGUUGUCCGGAUUUAUUGGGCGUAAAGGGCUCGUAGGUGGUUGAUCGCGUCGAGUGUAAUCU